GAUGAACGCUGACAGAAUGCUUAACACAUGCAAGUACACUGUGGCGGACGGGUGAGUAACGCGUAAAGAACUUGCCUCACAGUUAGGGACAACAUUUGGAAACGAAUGCUAAUACCUGAUACUGUGAGAGAGCUUUGCGUCCCAUUAGCUAGUUGGAGAGGUAACGGCUCACCAAGGCGAGGAUGGGUAGCCGGCCUGAGAGGGUGAUCGGCCACAAGGGGACUGCGACCCGUCCCUUACUCCUACGGGAGGCAGCAGUGGGGAAUAUUGGACAAUGGACCAAAGUCUGAUCCAGCAAUUCUGUGUGCACUAUGAAGUUUUCGGAAUGUAAAGUGCUUUCAGUUGGGAAGCGUUACCAACAGAAGAAGUGACGGCUAAAUACGUGCCAGCAGCCGCGGUAAUAC
rnacentral:rRNA from 1 species